rnacentral:rRNA from 1 species
GUCCUGGCAGUAAACGGUGCGCGUUUGGUGUGGGAGGAUUCGACCCCUUCCGUGCCGGAGCUAACGCGUUAAACGCGCCGCCUGGGGAGUACGGUCGCAAGAUUAAAACUCAAAGAAAUUGACGGGGGCCCGCACAAGCGGUGGAGUAUGUGGCUUAAUUCGAUGCAACGCGAAGAACCUUACCUAGGCUUGACAUGCAUCUCUAAGUCGGUGAAAGCCGGCGAGUCCCGCAAGGGACAAUUUGCACAGGUGCUGCAUGGCUGUCGU